rnacentral:tRNA from 1 species
GCCCCGUUAGCUCAGGUGGAUAGAGCGCAAGAUUCCUAAUCUUGGUGCCGCAGGUUCGAGUCCUGCACGGGGCACCA